rnacentral:tRNA from 1 species
GGGCUUCUGGUCUAGUGGUAUGACGCGCCCUUCGCAUGGGUGAGGUUACGGGUUCGAUUCCCGUGUGGUCCU